CCAAAUAUUCCUGUACCGAUGUGUAGUGCGAUGUGGGGACGGAUCUUAAUAGGUCAUCCGGGUGUUGGAUAUCCCGGUUUAGUUGGAAGUAGGCGAUGGGUAGGCAAAUCCGCCCGUCAUAUACCGAGGCCAACGAUCGAGCCAGCUUGCUGGUGAAGUGACUGAACGAGGUUCCAGGAAAAGCCACUAAGCUUCAGCUAUACACGACCGUACCGCAAACCGACACUGGUGCGCGAGAUGAGUAUUCUAAGGCGCUUGAGAGAACUCAGGAGAAGGAACUCGGCAAAUUGACACCGUAACUUCGGAAGAAGGUGUGCCCUAUUAGUGUGAAGUGAACAACGGAGCAUGAAUGGGUUGCAAAAAAUCGGUGGCUGCGACUGUUUAUUAAAAACACAGCACUCUGCAAACACGAAAGUGGACGUAUAGGGUGUGACGCCUGCCCGGUGCUGGAAGAUUAAAUGAUGGGGUGCAAGCUCUUGAUUGAAGUCCCAGUAAACGGCGGCCGUAACAAUAACGGUCCUAAGGUAGCGAAAUUCCUUGUCGGGUAAGUUCCGACCUGCACGAAUGGCGUAACGAUGGCCACACUGUCUCCUCCUGAGACUCAGCGAAGUUGAAAUGUUUGUGAUGAUGCAAUCUCCCCGCGGAAAGACGGAAAGACCCCAUGAACCUUUACUGUAGCUUUGUAUUGGACUUUGAACAGAUCUGUGUAGGAUAGGUGGGAGGCUUUGAAGCAGGGUCGCUAGAUCUUGUGGAGCCAACGUUGAAAUACCACCCUGGUGUGUUUGAGGUUCUAACCUAGGUCCAUUAUCUGGAUCGGGGACAGUGCAUGGUAGGCAGUUUGACUGGGGCGGUCUCCUCCCAAAGCGUAACGGAGGAGUUCGAAGGUACGCUAGUUACGGUCGGACAUCGUGACGAUAGUGCAAUGGCAUAAGCGUGCUUAACUGCGAGACUGACAAGUCGAGCAGAUGCGAAAGCAGGACAUAGUGAUCCGGUGGUUCUGUAUGGAAGGGCCAUCGCUCAACGGAUAAAAGGUACUCUGGGGAUAACAGGCUGAUACCGCCCAAGAGUUCAUAUCGACGGCGGUGUUUGGCACCUCGAUGUCGGCUCAUCUCAUCCUGGGGCUGUAGCCGGUCCCAAGGGUAUGGCUGUUCGCCAUUUAAAGAGGUACGUGAGCUGGGUUUAAAACGUCGUGAGACAGUUUGGUCCCUAUCUUCCGUGGGCGCUGCAGAUUUGAGGAAGCCUGCUCCUAGUACGAGAGGACCGGAGUGGACACACCUCUGGUGUAUCGGUUGUCACGCCAGUGGCAUUGCCGAGUAGCUAAGUGUGGAAGAGAUAACCGCUGAAAGCAUCUAAGCGGGAAACUCGUUUCAAGAUGAGAUCUGCCGGGGCCUUGAGCCCCCUGAAGAGUCGUUCAAGACCAGGACGUUGAUAGGUCAGGUGUGGAAGCGCAGUAAUGCGUUAAGCUAACUGAUACUAAUUGCUCGUGCGGCUUGACCCU
rnacentral:rRNA from 1 species